rnacentral:rRNA from 1 species
AAGAGGUACGUGAGCUGGGUUUAGAACGUCGUGAGACAGUUCGGUCCCUAUCUGCCGUGGGUGUACGAGACUUGAGAGGAUCUGUCCCUAGUACGAGAGGACCGGGAUGGACAUACCUCUGGUGGACCGGUUGUCGCGCCAGCGGCACAGCCGGGUAGCUAUGUAUGGACGGGAUAACCGCUGAAAGCAUCUAAGCGGGAAGCCUCCCUUGAGAUAAGCAAUCUUCGAACCGUCAUAGACCAUGACGUUGAUAGGCCGGGUGUGGAAGCGCAGUAAUGCGUGUAGCUAACCGGUCCUAAUAGUUCUUUUCGCGCUUG